rnacentral:rRNA from 1 species
UACGGAAUGUGCAAACGUUAUUCGGAAUCACUGGGCUUAAAGAGUCCGUAGGCGGCAUGUUAGGUGAGGUGUGAAAUCCCCCGGCUCAACCGAGGAAUUGCGCUUCAAACCGGCGUGCUAGAGGAGGAUAGAGGUGGGCGGAACUGAUGGUGGAGCGGUGAAAUGCGUUGAUAUCAUCAGGAACACCGGAGGCGAAGGCGGCCCACUGGGUCUUUUCUGACGCUGAGGGACGAAAGCUAGGGGAGCGAACGGG